GCUGUAGCUCAGUGGUAAAGCAUACGCUUUGCAUGCCCAAGGCCCUGGGUUCAAUCCCCAGGUGGAGCU